AGAGUUUGAUCAUGGCUCAGGAUGAACGCUAGCGGCAGGCUUAAUACAUGCAAGUCGAGGGGUAACAUGGGUAGCAAUACCUGAUGACGACCGGCAAACGGGUGCGGAACACGUACGCAACCUUCCCAUAACUGGUGAAUAGCCCUCCGAAAGGAGGAUUAAUACACCGUAACAUAAUGAAGAGGCAUCUCUUUAUUAUUAUAGGCUUCGGCCGGUUUUGGAUGGGCGUGCGCCUGAUUAGGUAGUUGGCGGGGUAACGGCCCACCAAGCCUACGAUCAGUAACUGGUGUGAGAGCACGACCAGUCACACGGGCACUGAGACACGGGCCCGACUCCUACGGGAGGCAGCAGUAAGGAAUAUUGGUCAAUGGACGAAAGUCUGAACCAGCCAUGCCGCGUGAAGGAUGAAGGCCCUCUGGGUUGUAAACUUCUUUUAUCUGGGACGAAAAAAGCUCAUUCUUGAGCACUUGACGGUACCAGAGGAAUAAGCACCGGCUAACUCCGUGCCAGCAGCCGCGGUAAUACGGAGGGUGCAAGCGUUAUCCGGAUUUACUGGGUUUAAAGGGUGCGUAGGUGGGCAGUUAAGUCAGUGGUGAAAUCUCCGAGCUUAACUCGGAAACUGCCAUUGAUACUAUCUGUCUUGAAUAUCCUGGAGGUGAGCGGAAUAUGUCAUGUAGCGGUGAAAUGCUUAGAUAUGACAUAGAACACCAAUUGCGAAGGCAGCUCACUACGGGAUUAUUGACACUGAGGCACGAAAGCGUGGGGAUCAAACAGGAUUAGAUACCCUAGUAGUCC
rnacentral:rRNA from 1 species